rnacentral:rRNA from 1 species
ACACUGACGACAUGGUUCUACAAUCAACUUUCGAUGGUAGGAUAGAGGCCUACCAUGGUUUCAACGGGUAACGGGGAAUAAGGGUUCGAUUCCGGAGAGGGAGCCUGAGAAACGGCUACCACAUCCAAGGAAGGCAGCGGGCGCGCAAAUUACCCAAUCCCGACACGGGGAGGUAGUGACAAUAAAUAACAAUAUAGGGCUCUUUUGGGUCUUAUAAUUGCAAUGAGUACAAUUUAAAUCCCUUAACGAGGAACAAUUGGAGGGCAAGUCUGGUGCCAGCAGCCGCGGUAAUUCCAGCUCCAAUGGCGUAUAUUAAAGUUGUUGCAGUUAAAAAGCUCGUAGUUGAAUUUCGGGGUUAGUAGGUUGGUCAUGCCUCUGGUAUGUACUGAUCUCACUGAUUCCUCCUUCCUCAUGAACCGUAAUGCCAUUAAUUUAGUGUUGCGGGGGAAUUUGGACUGUUACUUUGAAAAAAUUAGAGUGUUUAAAGCAAGCUAACGCUUGAAUACAUUAGCAUGGAAUAAUGAAAUAGGACGUUCGAUCCUAUUUUGUUGGUUUCUAGGAUUGGCGUAAUGAUUAAUAGGGAUAGUUGGGGGCAUUAGUAUUCAAUUGUCAGAGGUGAAAUUCUUGGAUUUAUUGAAGACUAACUACUGCGAAAGCAUUUGCCAAGGAUGUUUUCAUUAAUCAAGAACGAAAGUUAGGGGAUCGAAGACGAUCAGAUACCGUCGUAGUCUUAACCAUAAACUAUGCCGACUAGGGAUCGGAUGAUGUUAAUUUUUUAAUGACUCAUUCGGCGCCUUACGGGAAACCAAAGUGUUUGGGUUCAGACCAAG